rnacentral:rRNA from 1 species
GUAACGAAUCUUCCGCAAUGGACGAAAGUCUGACGGAGCAAUGCCGCGUGCGGGAUGAAGCCCUUCGGGGUGUAAACCGCUGUCAGGGUUUAGUAACACAAUGAACAGACCCAAAGGAAGAGCCGACUAACUCUGUGCCAGCAGUCGCGGUAAUACAGAGGGCUCGAGCGUUGCGCGGAGUCACUGGGCUUAAAGCGUACGUAGGCGGACAUGAAGGCAUCGUGUGAAAUCCCCCGACUCAACCGGGGAACUGCUCGGUGAACCGCAUGUCUUGAGGGAAGUAAGGGCGGUCGGAACGAUAGGUGGAGCGGUGAAAUGCGUAGAUAUCUAUCGGAACGCCGAAGGUGAAGACAGGCCGCUGGGCUUCUUACUGACGCUGAGGUACGAAAGCGUGGGGAGCGAACGGGAUUAGAUACCCCGGUAGUCC